CAGCCGCCGCGGGAAUACGAAGGGUGCAGGCGUUAAUCGGAAUUACUGGGCGUAAAGCGUGCGUAGGCGGUGAGUUAAGUCUGCUGUGAAAUCCCCGGGCUCAACCUGGGAAUGGCAGUGGAUACUGGCUCGCUAGAGUGUGUCAGAGGAUGGUGGAAUUCCCGGUGUAGCGGUGAAAUGCGUAGAGAUCGGGAGGAACAUCAGUGGCGAAGGCGGCCAUCUGGGACAACACUGACGCUGAGGCACGAAAGCGUGGGGAGCAAACAGGAUUAGAUACCCGUGUAGUCCCUGUCUCUUAUAC
rnacentral:rRNA from 1 species